UAGUCGAUGGAUAACAGGUGGAGAUUCCUGUACUAUGUGUACCCAGAACUGUGGGGACGCAUGUGGAGAGCAUGAGCCGGGAAAGAGAAAACCGGUACAAGCGGGGUAGGAGUAAGGACAGCAAAUCUUCCUUACAAUCCGAAGACGUGAUGUGGACCGAACCAAAGUAGGGAAGCGUGUGAGCCAUGUGCCGAGAAAAGCCGCUAUUGUGCCAUAUGUGCCCGUACCGUAAACCGACACAGGUGGAUGAGGAGAGAAUCCUAAGGCCGGCGGAAGAAGCAUUGUCAAGGAACUCGGCAAAAUGGCCCCGUAACUUAGGGAUAAGGGGUGCCUGGGAAACCAGGCCGCAGAGAAUAGGCUCAAGCAACUGUUUAGCAAAAACACAGGUCUAUGCGAAACCGAAAGGUGAGGUAUAUGGGCUGACGCCUGCCCGGUGCUGGAAGGUUAAGAGGAGAGGUUAGCGCAAGCGAAGCUUUGAAUUUAAGCCCCAGUAAACGGCGGCCGUAACUAUAACGGUCCUAAGGUAGCGAAAUUCCUUGUCGGGUAAGUUCCGACCCGCACGAAAGGCGUAAUGAUUUGAGCGCUGUCUCGACAAUGCAUCCGGUGAAAUUGAAGUACCAGUGAAGAUGCUGGUUACCUGCGCCAGGACGGAAAGACCCCAUGGAGCUUUACUCCAGUCUGGUACUGGGACUCGGUAUUGCAUGUACAGGAUAGGUGGGAGGCUAGGAGAUGGUAACGCCAGUUGCCAUGGAGCCGCUGUUGGGAUACCACCCUUGCAGUAUUGGGUUUCUAACCAGCCGCCGUGACCCGGCGGUGGGACAAUGCCAGACGGGGAGUUUGACUGGGGCGGUCGCCUCCGAAAGGGUAUCGGAGGCGCCCAAAGGUUCCCUCAGAAUGGACGGAAACCAUUCGAAGAGUGCAAAGGCAGAAGGGAGCUUGACUGCGACACCGACGGGUGGAGCAGGUACGAAAGUAGGACUUAGUGAUCCGGUGGUAUAAAGUGGGAUUGCCAUCGCUCAACGGAUAAAAGCUACCCUGGGGAUAACAGGCUUAUCACUCCCAAGAGUUCACAUCGACGGAGUGGUUUGGCACCUCGAUGUCGGCUCAUCGCAUCCUGGGGCUGUAGUAGGUCCCAAGGGUUGGGCUGUUCGCCCAUUAAAGCGGUACGCGAGCUGGGUUCAGAACGUCGUGAGACAGUUCGGUCCCUAU
rnacentral:rRNA from 1 species